ACGGAGGGUGCAAGCGUUAUCCGGAUUCACUGGGUUUAAAGGGUGCGUAGGUGGGUUGGUAAGUCAGUGGUGAAAUCUCCGAGCUUAACUUGGAAACUGCCAUUGAUACUAUCAGUCUUGAAUAUUGUGGAGGUCAGCGGAAUAUGUCAUGUAGCGGUGAAAUGCUUAGAUAUGACAUAGAACACCAAUUGCGAAGGCAGCUGGCUACACAUCUAUUGACACUGAGGCACGAAAGCGUGGGGAUCAAACAGGAUUAGAUACCCUGGUAGUCCACGCCCUAAACUAUGGAUACUCGACAUUUGCGAUACACAGUAAGUGUCUGAGCGAAAGCAUUAAGUAUCCCACCUGGGAAGUACGAUCGCAAGAUUG
rnacentral:rRNA from 1 species